GAAGGGCCAGUGAACGACCGCGGUAACUAUAACCGUGUUAAAGUAGCGAAAUUCCUUGACGGGUAAGUUCCGUCCCGCACGAAAGGCGUAACGACUGGGGGACUGUCUCAACGAGGAGCCCGGUGAAAAUGCAGUGCCCGUGAAGAUGCGGGCUACCUGCGGCAGGACGAAAAGACCCCGGAAGCUUCACUACAACUUGGUAUUGUGUACCGUUUUCUGAUGCGUAGCGUAGGUGGGAGGGGAUGAAGCUCUGCUUUCGGGCAGGGCAGACCCAACAAUGAAACACCACUCUUCAGAUGGCAGUACACUAACCGUAUCCCGGUUUGCAGCCGGGAAGGGACAGUGCCUGGCGGGUAGUUUUGGUGGGGUGCUAUCCUCCUAAAAGGUAACGGAGGAGUUCAUUAAGGUCGGCUAGGUGCGGAUGGAAAUCGCGCCGAUAGGGUAAAGCCACAAGCCGGCUUUACUGCAAGGCAAAUAAGCCGCGCAGUUGCGAAAGCAGGACUUAGUGAACCGACCGUUUUCCCGACUCUUUUGGGUUUAUUCUUAAGAGGGUUGGGACUUCGUAGAACGGCGGAAGAUUACCAGAUAAAAGCUACUCCGGGGAUAACAGGCUGGUUUCGCCCGAGAGUCCAUAUCGACGGCGAAGCUCGGCACCUCGAUGUCGGCUCAUCACAUCCUGGGGGUGGAGAAGCUCCCAAGGGUUCGGCUGUUCGCCGAUUAAAGUGAUACGCGAGCUGGGUUCAAACCGU
rnacentral:rRNA from 1 species